AUCCUCGUGGUGUUUCCAGUGGCGGACGGGUGAGUAACGCGUAAGAACUUGCCCUUGGGAGGGGGACAACAACUGGAAACGGCUGCUAAUACCCCGUAAGCUGAGGAGCAAAAGGGAGGGAUCCGCCCAAGGAGGGGCUUGCGUCUGAUUAGCUGGUUGGUGAGGCAAUGGCUUACCAAGGCGACGAUCAGUAGCUGGUCUGAGAGGAUGAUCAGCCACACUGGGACUGAGACACGGCCCAG
rnacentral:rRNA from 1 species